GCUAUUGGGCCUCUGGAAAGACCCCAGGCCCAUUCGUAUUGGGCACAUGGCCAAGAGAGGGAUCCCUUCCCCAGCUUCAGAAUUUUCAUUUCUCCAAUUUCUUUCCUCUCUCAAGAACAGAAACCUUGCCCUAACUUAAGCUCUCACUUCUCUCUAGAUUUCCAACAUAUUCCACCGUUAGAGUUGUGAUUUGAUUGCAUAUUAUUGCUCCUAGAGUCAAGGGCUACGGAACCAUCCGAUUGGUUUCUCGUUUCGUCGGGUUCUGUUCAUUUUCGAACGUUGUAAGAGGGUACUGUAGAGCAUCUGUGAACUACGUUAAGCAUCCCACCAGAUGGCGAGGAUGUUACUCUGGAGACAGUCUUGGAGGAGAACAGCGAUGCAGCUGCUUAGUUCUGCUAGGAGAUUUCAUGACCCCCUUAUGUUAUCUACAAACAAUUCCUUCUUAUGUUAUUCUGAAAUACUUUAGUGCUUCAAGUUUUAAAUUCCUACUCGAUUUGGAUAAUUGUAAUCCCUAUACUCAAGACUCUUAACUGCCUGUCUACACUCCAACUGCUUUCUUUAUUAUAA